rnacentral:rRNA from 1 species
UACGAAGGGGGCUAGCGUUGUUCGGAAUCACUGGGCGUAAAGCGCUCGUAGGCGAUCUUUAAGUCAGAGGUGAAAUCCCAAGGCUCAACCUUGGAACUGCCUUUGAUACUGGGGAUCUCGAGUCCGGGAGAGGUGGAGUGGAACUGCGAGUGUAGAGGUGAAAUUCGUAGAUAUUCGCAAGAACACCAGUGGCGAAGGCGGCCCU